rnacentral:rRNA from 1 species
UAAAUAAAAAUUAUUAUAAUUAUAAGUUAAUUAAAAUUUUAAUAAAAGUAAUUUUAUGAUUUUCAAUUUAAGUAUAGUGUAUAGAAAUUAAUAAUUUUAAUUAUAGUGAAUAGUAUAGUAAUAGAAUUUUUAAAAAUUUAUAAUUAGUUGGUAAGUAAAUUUAAUUUAUUGUACCUUUUGUAUCAGGGUUUAUUAAAAAAUAAUUAUUGAUUUAAUUUUCUCGAAUUUAAGAGAGUUAAAAUUUUAUUAUUUUUAUUGUUUUAUAAAUAUUUUAAAUAAAAUUUUAGUAAUGAAAUGUUAUUCGUUCUUAAAGAUAUCUGGUUUUUUAAGAAUUAAAUUUAAUUUAGAUUAUUACUUGAAUGGAUUUACUUUAAAAAAUUUAUUUAGUGAUAUAUAAAAAUUGUUAGGGAUAAGCUUAAUAAUUUAAUUUUUAAAUAAUAAAAAUUAAUAAAUAAAAUAGGAUUAGAAAUUUUCAUUUUUUAUUAAAAUGUUAUAAUUAAUUAAUUUAUUUAUAUAAUUUGUUAUUAAUAUUUAAAAUAAUUUAUUAAAAUAUUAUAUUUAAUUAUUAAUAUAAAAAAUAAUGAUAAAAUUAGUAUUAAUUUAUUUAAAAGUAAAAUCUUAAUUAAGAUUAAAAUAAGGAAUUCAGCAAGAUAAUACUCACCUGUUUAUCAAAAACAUGUCUUUUUGAAAAUAAUAAAAAGUCUAACCUGCCCACUGAAUAAAUUUUAAAGGGCCGCGGUAUAUUGACUGUGCAAAGGUAGCAUAAUCAUUUGUCUCUUAAUUGGAGGCUAGAAUGAAUGGUUGAAUGAAGUAUUAACUGUCUCAUUUUAAUAAAUAUAAAAAUUUAAUUUUUAGUUAAAAAUCUAAAAUUUUUUUAAAGGACGAGAAGACCCUAUAAAUCUUAAUUUUAUUAAAUAAAUUAUAUUGUAGAAUAAAAUUAUUUAUUUUAUUUAAUAAAAUUUUGUUGGGGUGACAGGAAAAUUAAUAAAACUUUUUUUAUUUUUAACCAUUGAUUUAUGAUUAAUUGAUCCAAUUUUAUUGAUUAAAAGAUUAAGAUACUUUAGGGAUAACAGCGUAAUUUUUUUGAAGAGUUCUAAUCGAUAAAAAAGAUUGCGACCUCGAUGUUGAAUUAAAGAUAAUUUUAAAUGCAGUAGUUUAAUAAUUAGGUCUGUUCGACCUUUAAAUCUUUACAUGAUUUGAGUUCAAACCGGUGUGAGCCAGGUUGGUUUCUAUCCUUAAUUAAUUAAAAUAUUUUAGUACGAAAGGACCAAAUAUUUAAAAUAUUUUUUUUAUUAGAAUAAUAUUAAUUUA